UACGAAGGGGGCGAGCGUUGCUCGGAAUCACUGGGCGUAAAGCGCACGUAGGCGGCUUUCUAAGUCAGGGGUGAAAUCCUGGAGCUCAACUCCAGAACUGCCUUUGAUACUGGAGAGCUUGAGUCCGGAAGAGGUGAGUGGAACUCCGAGUGUAGAGGUGAAAUUCGUAGAUAUUCGGAAGAACACCAGUGGCGAAGGCGGCUCGCUGGCCCGUUACCGACGCUCAGGCGCGACAGCGUGGGGAGCAAACAGG
rnacentral:rRNA from 1 species